GUGCCUUUUGCCUCCCGUCAUGAUUCUGAGGCCUCCCCAGCCAUGUGGAACUGUUUGAGGCACAGAGCUGUAUAUACAAUAACAGUGAAAUUGAUCCCACUACUAAUUAUGACAAAAAUGAUCUUCCACGUAAACAGGUGGUGAAGCUCCUUAUGGUCCUGACCCUACAGUUCCUGUCCCAUGACCAGGGCCAGAUCACCAAGGAGCUGCAGCAGUUCGUCGUCAGUGGCAGCCCCAUGCGAGCACCCGAGGAAGGUGAGUGAGCACAGACAGAUGGGUCCUGGUGCCCUGGAGCAGUUCCCGGGUCUCGGCUGCCCCAGGUCUCAUAGUGUGGCCAUGCUGGGGGAAGCUUAGGUAGUCACAGUACUGGCCUUUUUGGGUG
rnacentral:lncRNA from 1 species